AUUGAACGCUGGCGGCAUGCUUUACACAUGCAAGUCGAACGGCAGCGCGGGCUUCGGCCUGGCGGCGAGUGGCGAACGGGUGAGUAAUGCAUCGGAACGUGCCCAGUAGUGGGGGAUAGCCUGGCGAAAGCCGGAUUAAUACCGCAUACGACCUGAGGGUGAAAGUGGGGGACCGAAAGGUUUCGCGCUAUUGGAGCGGCUGAUGUCGGAUUAGCUAGUUGGUGGUGUAAAGGCUUACCAAGGCGACGAUCCGUAGCUGGUCUGAGAUGACGACCAGCCACACUGGGACUGAGGCACGGCCCAGACUCCUACGGGAGGCAACGGUGGGGAAUUUUGGACAAUGGGGGCAACCCUGAUCCAGCCAUGCCGCGUGCGGGAAGAAGGCCUUCGGGUUGUAAACCGCUUUUGUUCGGGAAGAAAUCCUCUGGGCUAAUACCCCGGGGGGAUGACGGUACCGGAAGAAUAAGCACCGGCUAACUACGUG
rnacentral:rRNA from 1 species